ensembl:snoRNA small nucleolar RNA U85
GCCCAGUGAUGAGACCAAGGCGAAUACGAGCUUACAGGCCGAGAGCCGGAUUCUUCUUUGCCUUUUAGUGGCAGGUAAUCUUGGCAGUGCAGAGGAGGAUUUCUGCUCUGCUGUAAGGGCCUGCCUACACUGAAACGGCUGUGACCAAAUCACUCCCUAAAAGUUAUUUUGGAGUGACUCUGGGAAUACCGCCGACAUUGUGUGUAGCGUGUGUGAAAAGGCAAAGAAGUUCAUCCUUCUCUCUGUGACGCUCAGUAAGCUGUGAGUUAUGUUCUUUGGUAAUCUGAGGGCC